rnacentral:sRNA from 1 species
UGUAAUAUGCAAACAUUAUGAUUUGAGUUUCCUGAUAAUCUAGGAAAAAAGGAAAACAAGACGAUUCACUUAUGUGGUUGGAAUUAUAAAAUGCUAACCAAUACCUAUUUCUUCCUCAUUGUAGCAUUUCAUGUUUUGCCACGGAGUGGCUUCACCCAUGUGAUCAAUUUCCCCCUGGUCAAUGGGAUGGGAAUGGACUUGAUAGGAAACCACAGGAUAUACUUUUAGCAUAAUGAAUAUGCACCGAGCCCAAGAUGUGAUCGAAGAAGCUGGAAGUGACACUUGGAACCCAGGAAGCCAGUGUCCUUUGACAGGUCGCCUCCACUGGUCCUGGGCGGCCAUUGCUGGAGCUCUCACGCAGCACAGAGUAUGCUCUGACAGUUUAGCGAUUGGUACUUUAAAGUGGAGCUGUGUAGUGAGAACAGGAACCCUAAAGCGUGCAGCAGUGCUUCAGUGGUGAGGCAGCGGACAUUGAAGCUGAUGGUGUUGAGGCUCGUAGAGGAACUAAUGCUUUCCGUGCCAUGGUACACACUGGAUGAGGCAGUCACCAGCAACAGAUGACGUCAUUCCCAAUCUCUGCAGCACCUGAUUGAAAUGUGUGUGUCCAGUACAGCUUUCCAGCAGUAAACGCCAUGCAUGAUUUGCUCAGCCCAUCUCAAUCAUCUGAACAAUGGGUGUGUGCUUCUGGUUCGAGGUCACAGCAAAGCUAUUGAUCAUGGCCAGUCCCAAACUCAGUGGGCUCCUUUCCGUCCUCCCAUCCUCAGUUGUCCUGGGGCACCAGACAAGGCAGAUUACACGAAGCCUCUGAGAAAACAGCACAGACAAUAAUUCCACCUCAAAACCUAAUCUGAUGCACGGACGGUCAGUCUGCUGAACGAACUUUCCCACCAUGAAUGUAAGUUGAUUUUGUUUCUUUAUUUUUCCCCCCAAAGGUUCUGACCUACUAAGUGUCCUUAAUGUGGCUCACACCUUUAAGGAAGCAAGAGGCUCACUCAUUUGGAUAGUCCCAACCUGCUCCUUUUGCAUUCUGACAUAGCUGAUGAGUCCCGUAAAUGACAUUUCCUCAGAAUAUGGGUCAAUAAACAUUUAUUGAGUACUUCCUGGGGGCCAGGGCCUGGUUACAUGGAUAAUAUUUACAGAUAGCAGGAAAAGUCAUGGAAGAUAUUCAAGAAAAUUGUAGUCUGCAUCUGGAGAGGAGGAGGGGAGACAGAGAGACAGAUAUAUUAACAAGUCAUAAAUAAGUAACUAGAUAAGUGCUAAACAUUGAGGACAAAGUACUAGGUUAGGUUCAAACUCCACUGGGCAGGAAAUAGCUCACUGGGAGAUGAGGAAAGCUUGCAUAUGAGGCUUUCGAAGUAGGGCUUAAAGAUGGGUCAGAGUUUAAUAGGUGGUCAGCAUUCACAGAGCCUAGGGAAGAACACGAGAUCAGAGCCAUCAGCAGAAUAAGGAACGUGUCUGAGUGGAUUGAUAGACUUAACUUUUGACUGGACCCUUUGUGUCUCCAUAAAGAAUGUAGUUUGCUGUGUCCUGCAUUCCUGCAAGCCUCUGCGUCCUGUUUUUUGGUUUUUUGUUUUUUGUUUUGUCUUGGCUUCACUAUUUGGUCAAGUCUUCAUCCCCAUCUUUCACACCUUGGCCUUAUGGGAGAUUCAGGAAAGAGCUGGAGAGGGCCAGCUGUUUCUUGCUGUCUCAAAGCACUUUCUCCAAGGCACACGUUAAUGCGGCUUCUGUGUCCUCAUUGCACAGCCUUGGGAAGAAGGUGGUAGGGAUGGACCCACUGGAGAGGAAGCCUUUGGUUUUUAAAAGCCAUCUAGACUGGCAGUUGUUCAGCCUUGCCUCAACUACAAAGUCAGUGAACGUCCUGCAACAUACGCUCGGGUGUGGACGUCGGGUUCCUAAUAGAAACUGGAACUUGUAUCACAUAGCAGCUGGUGGUGACAUCACACAGGGCCUUCCUCUGAGGACGGCAUCACACAGGGCCGCCUUCUGACAAGCUCCCUUUCUAGGGCAGUACCAAAAGCAGGUUCACUUCUCCUGAGGACAAUUUAGGGGAUGCAUGGCUAUUCUAAAAUCUGCAGCUGUCUGUUACAGAGAUGUGUGCGUAGUGGGGGCAUGACUGUAGAUGUUCCUAACACAAAUGUCUCCUGAAGACAAGAAUUCCUAAACUGUAACUCCAAAAACCGAUGGUGUUUGAAUGAAAUGUUCCUAUGUCUCUUUACUAUUUAGCCGCUGUGAUUUCACUGGCAGGACACGGAACAGAAAUGGUAGUCUAGUUAUCGUUUUGAUUUCCUAGGCUUUCAUCUCGGUAAAAACAAGAAAUAGGGCCUCCAGGGAUGACUCAACGUUUAAGAGCACAGACUGCUCUUGUGGAAGACCUGGGUUCAGUUUCUAACAUCUACAUAGCAGUUGACAACCACCUGUAACUCCAGUGCCAGGGGAUUGGACACCUUCUUCUGAAUCCACACACCAAGCACUCAGUGUGGCACCCAUGUAUUCGUGCACACAAAUAGGCAAAAUGUUCAUCUGUAUAAAAUAAAAAACAUUCAA